CUCCCAUGCUCAAGAAAACAUUCAAAACUGUUGGUAUCUAGAUGACUAUGGUUAUUUUAUACAAUGGAUAUAUAUUUAACAAAAUCUUAUUUUAUAUUUUGACCAACUGCCAAUGGUUAUAUCAAAGUUGUUACCAGUCUGGGUUAGUUCUGAAUGGGUUAAAGGCUUGCCCAAAUCCUAAAAGCCAAAUCUGCUAAGCUUAUGGACAGUAAUAUUUUCAGUAUCAUCGGUACCUAGAAAUUCCUAUAUAUAGACAAUUAAAAAAGAAAAGUAAAGUUGUUGCCAAAUCUGGUUCUGAAAUCCAACUUUGUAGAAUCCUCAAAGCCUCAUCUGAGCACGAAAACUGUGACUGGAGCUAAAAUUAUUUAAACAAAUUCCUAAGAAAGCAGCUAAUUAAUACGAUAAAUAAAAAAAGGAUAAUACCCUUUCAGACUCCCCCGAGUCAGC